CCAUAGUUACCGCAUGGUAACUAUGUAAAAGGUGGCUAUGCUACCGCUUUUGGAUGGGCCCGCGACGCAUUAGCUAGUUGGUGGGGUAAAGGCUUACCAAGGCAAUGAUGCGUAGCCGAACUGAGAGGUUGAUCGGCCACAUUGGGACUGAGACACGGCCCAAACUCCUACGGGAGGCAGCAGUAGGGAAUCUUCCACAAUGGGCGAAAGCCUGAUGGAGCAACGCCGCGUGGGUGAAGAAGGUCUUCGGAUCGUAAAACCCUGUUGUUAGAGAAGAAAGUGCGUGAGAGUAACUGUUCACGUUUCGACGGUAUCUAACCAGAAAGCCACGGCUAACUACGUGCCAGCAGCCGCGGUAAUACGUAGGUGGCAAGCGUUAUCCGGAUUUAUUGGGCGUAAAGAGAACGCAGGCGGUCUUUUAAGUCUGAUGUGAAAGCCUUCGGCUUAACCGGAGUAGUGCAUUGGAAACUGGGAGACUUGAGUGCAGAAGAGGAGAGUGGAACUCCAUGUGUAGCGGUGAAAUGCGUAGAUAUAUGGAAGAACACCAGUGGCGAAAGCGGCUCUCUGGUCUGUAACUGACGCUGAGGUUCGAAAGCGUGGGUAGCAAACAGGAUUAGAUACCCUGGUAGUCCACGCCGUAAACGAUCCAUGAUAGGUGUUGGA
rnacentral:rRNA from 1 species